rnacentral:rRNA from 1 species
GACGAACGCUGGCGGCGUGCUUAACACAUGCAAGUCGAGCGGAAAGGCCCUUCGGGGUACUCGAGCGGCGAACGGGUGAGUAACACGUGAGUAACCUGCCCUUGGCUCUGGGAUAAGCCCGGGAAACUGGGUCUAAUACCGGAUACGACCACUGGAUGCAUGUCUGGUGGUGGAAAGUUUUUCGGCUGGGGAUGGACUCGCGGUCUAUCAGCUUGUGGU